rnacentral:rRNA from 1 species
GAUGAACGCUGGCGGCGUGCCUAAUACAUGCAAGUCGAGCGAACAGAUGAGGAGCUUGCUCCUCUGACGUUAGCGGCGGACGGGUGAGUAACACGUGGAUAACCUACCUAUAAGACUGGGAUAACUUCGAGAAACCGGAGCUAAUACCGGAUAAUAUAUUGAACCGCAUGGUUCAAUAGUGAAAGACGGUUUUGCUGUCACUUAUAGAUGGAUCCGCGCCGCAUUAGCUAGUUGGUAAGGUAACGGCUUACCAAGGCAACGAUGCGUAGCCGACCUGAGAGGCUGAUCGGCCACACUGGAACUGAGACACGGUCCAGACUCCUACGGGAGGCAGCAGUAGGGAAUCUUCCGCAAAGGGCGAAAGCCUGACGGAGCAACGCCGCGUGAGUGAUGAAGGUCUUCGGAUCGUAAAACUCUGUUAUUAGGGAAGAACAAAUGUGUAAGUAACUAUGCACGUCUUGACGGUACCUAAUCAGAAAGCCACGGCUAACUACGUG